rnacentral:rRNA from 1 species
UACGGGGGGGGUAAGCGUUGUUCGGAAUUACUGGGCGUAAAGGGCUCGUAGGCGGCCAACUAAGUCAGACGUGAAAUCCCUCAGCUUAACUGGGGAACUGCGUCUGAUACUGGAUGGCUUGGAUUCGGGAGAGGAAUGCGGAAUUCCAGGUGUAGCGGUGAAAUGCGUAGAUAUCAGGAGGAACACCGGUGGCGAAGGCGGCACUCUGGGCCGGUACUGACGCUGAGGAGCGAAAGCGUGGGGAGCGAACAGG